rnacentral:snRNA from 1 species
AUCGCUUCUCGGCCUUUUGGCUAAGAUCAAGUGUAGAAUCCAUAUGUUUUUGAUAAACGUGAGUUUAAUUUGGUGGGGGGUACUUUUC